rnacentral:rRNA from 1 species
CCGCCGGGGACUUUCCCAAAAUGCUGCUUUGUCGGUUCGGGGGUUGUGGUCUGAGUGAAGGAUGAUAAUAGAUCAACCAAAACUUUCAACAACGGAUCUCUUGGUUCCGGCAUCGAUGAAGAACGCAGCGAAAUGCGAUAGGUAAUGCGAAUUGCAGAAUUCCGCGAGUCAUCGAAUCUUUGAACGCACAUUGCACCCCUCGGCUCUCCGGGGGGCAUGCCUGUCCGAGCGUCAUCACUAUCCCCUCGAGCCUUUGGCUUGGUCGUUGGGUCAUUGUCCCUCCCACGCUCUAAGGGGGAGGGACAGGCCCGAAAGGUAGUGGUAGCUCUGGGAGCGGUCCACGGGCGGUGGUGCAGACGAGGGAAGUCUCUCUUCUACCGCCCCGGUGGGUUGUGCCUAGUGGCUUUGCCGGAGAGUGUCGGUUUCGGGGAGGAGUCCGCUCCCCCCCUUCAGGUUGACCUCGGAUCAGGUAGGGAUACCCGCUGAACUUAA